GAAACUAAAGCCUAUGUUCUCGCGAAUAAGUGGCGGUGGUUCAAUGUCCGCAAUGUCUAUUUGUUCCAUCGACUUUGAUAGGUCGUCAACUGAAAAUGGAAUGCUGCAAAACGAUAAAAGUUGUGCGAAGUCAGUUAAAAAACGAGCUCAGCUGGUUUCCAGGAAGGAAUUACUAACAGCAUUGUUGGAAUCUUCUGUCAUCAACACUCUCAUAUUGGCUAUUACCUAGAAGUCGAUAAUCGAGCCAAGUCAUAUUAUUAAACCAGUGGAUAUCUUUUAAUCUAGUUUGACAAACUGCAUCUCUUGAAACUUACAUCGGGGGACACACUAUGCGUGCCAUACUUGUCGUCCCAAUACAUCGUACUAAUACGAUACAGCUGCUGUAUACUGAGGACCUGUAGGUGAAGAAUGAAAAUCGCUUAAGGCUUCAGAUCCAGGGAAGAUUUGGACAGUAGUGAUGCCAGUGGCUUACCGGACAAAGAUCGUGGCUUAUUUCAUCCAGUGUUUUCUUAGAUUUUUGAUGUAUUACCUAAAUCAAAAAUAGAAUAACAUUGAUAUCGUGCACCACUUCUUUUAUUCUUGAAUGUCAUAACAAGAAAAUGGAAGAACAGAUCUAAAGUGUUGUAAGAA